GACGAACGCUGGCGGCGUGGAUUAGGCAUGCAAGUCGAACGGUAUCAUCCUUUCGGGGGUGAGAGAGUGGCGAACUGGUGAGUAACACGUAGGUUAUCUACCCUCAAGACGGGGACAACCCAGGGAAACUUGGGCUAAUACCGGAUGUGAGCAACUUUUAGUUGUUUGAAAGGUGGCGUAAGCUGUCGCUUGGGGAUGAGCCUGCGUCCUAUUAGUUAGUUGGUGAGGUAACGGCUCACCUAGGCAAUGAUAGGUAGGCGGCCUUAACGGGUGGUCGCCCACACUGGGAUUGAGAUACGGCCCAGACUCCUACGGGAGGCAGCAGUCGAGAAUAGUCUACAAUGGUCGGAAGACUGAUAGUGCGACGCCGCGUGAACGAUGAAUCCCUUCGGGGUGUAAAGUUCUUUUCUAUACGAGCAGUGCUAUAUAUAUGGAUAGUAUAUAUAGAGGGAUAGUAGUAUAGGAAUAAGCAAACGGCUAAACUCCGUGCCAGCAGCCGCGGUAAUCUCGU
rnacentral:rRNA from 1 species